GUUGUGGCCAGUGAGCAUUGGGACAGCAGGAUCGACCAGGUCAAGUGGUUUCCAGCGCUUCUUUUGUGCCUGGGAUCUUUUAUUUUUUCUCGGCAUCUGGUAGAAUGUCAACAUAAAAACAGAAUAUUAAUUAUUGGCAUUUCAAGCAAUUUGUUAUUUUAACCCUCUGAUACAUUGACAGAUAAGAUGACUACAAGAACAAAAAAAAUCUGUUCCAUAACAGUUUGUAUAUUGUAAUUGAGAAAGUGAUUACCUUGAAAGUUGGGAGGCAGAUUUGUUGACCACGACAGUUACUUCGUUUUGGUGUACAGUAAUUGGGAAAGUAAUUACCUUGCAAAGCUGGGAGGCAGUGUUGUUGCUGAGACGCUGGUCGAAUGCCAGCAGCAAGCAAACCCAGAUGUUCACAGUCCUACUUAACACCUCAAACUUUUCAAACAAAUCUUACAAGAACAUUUGGCAAAGUGAUUGGCUUGCUAACUUAGGAGACAGUCUUGUUGCCCACAACAGUUUUGUUAUAGACUAAUUGGAAAAUUGGGUACCUUGCAAGGCUGACAGGCAGUCUCGUUGCUGGGAGGCGGUCUUGUUGCUGGGGCUCUGGCAGAAUGCCAGCAGCAAGCAGACCCAGAUGUUCACAGUCCUACUUAACACCUUAAACUUUGCAAACAAAUCUCACAGAACAAUUAGCAAACUGAUUGGCUUGUAACACUGAAAUGUAGCCUUGUACUGUCUGGUUUAAAUUUCCUACUGAGAGACAAAGAGGAACUUUACUGUUUGGAAGGGAGUAAAAACACUGUACCACCUAAUCUUAAAAGUUUUAAUUACAAACAACAGCUCUGGAAUAAAAUGACAUCCAGCGCUCAACACACCUAUUUGUUUCUAAAUAUCAGCUGAACACAUACAUAGAAAAUAUAAGGGGGGGCACUUACCUUGGCUGAAUCAAGAGUUCAGGUAUUAAAGGCUGCUGUAGUUAACGCCUUAUAAAGACAGACAAAGAGAGGUGUGAAACGUGACUACAACGCAGCUAUUGUUUCGUACGCGGUGAGAGUCGCAUCUUAAAAGGUUUAAUUACAAACGAUACCACUGGAAUAAAAUCGCAGUCAUUUUGUAGAUAUCAGCGUCAAGACACAGAAAAGCACUUUUAAAGGUCAAUUUCAAAAGCGGAGGAGGGACUGAAACGCUUGCUUUAGCUGACUAUCCGCUAACUGGCUUUAGCAUCGUGCCGAACGUGCCGAAACAAAGAAAUCGAUAAAGAAACACAUAAAAAAAAAAAAUCACUUUCAAAGCUAAAUUUCAAACCAGAGACAGAGAUACGCUUACCUUGUCAUAGUAAAUCACUUUCAAAAUCAAUUUCAAACCGGGAAACGCUUAAUAUCCGCUAACUAGCCAGCAACAAAAUACCACGAGACAAAGAGGUGUGAAACCCGACUACAAUGAAGCUAUUUUUUGAGAGUCCCAUCUUAAAAGUUCCAAUUACAAACGAUACCACUGGAAUAAAAUCACAGUCAUUUUGUAGAUAUCAGCGUCAAGACACAAAAAAUACCUUUAAAAGUAAAUCACUUUCAAAUCAAUUUCAAACUGGGAGACGCUUAAUAUCCUCUAACUAGCCAGCAACAAAACACCACGAGACAAAGAGACGUGUGAAACGCGACUGCAACGAAGCUAUUUUUUGAGAGUCGUAUCUUAAAAGGUUUAAUUACAAACGAUACCACUGGAAUAAAAUCGCAGUCAUUUUGUAGAUAUCAGCGUCAAGACACAGAAAAGCACUUUUAAAGGUCAAUUUCAAAAGAGGAGGAGGGACUGAAACGCUUGCUUUAGCUGACUAUCCGCUAACUGGCUUUAGCAUCGUGCCGAACGUGCCGAAACAAAGAAAUCGAUAAAGAAACACA